GCAAUACAAGGCAGACGGCUCAGUAACGCGUAGUCAAUCUACCCUAUGGACGGGAAUAACCUCGGGAAACUGAGAAUAAUGCCCGAUAGAACAUUAUACCUGGAACGGUUUAUGUUUCAAAUGAUUUAUCGCCGUAGGAUGGGACUGCGGCCUAUCAGUUUGUUGGUGAGGUAAUGGCCCACCAAGACUAUUACAGGUACGGGCUCUGAGAGGAGUAGCCCGGAGAUGGGUACUGAGACACGGACCCAGGCCCUAUGGGGCGCAGCAGGCGAGAAAACUUUGCAAUGUGCGAAAGCACGACAAGGUUAAUCCGAGUGGUUUCUGCUAAAGAAACCUUUUGCUAGUCCUAGAAACACUAGUGAAUAAGGGGUGGGCAAGUUCUGGUGUCAGCCGCCGCGGUAAAACCAGCACCUCAAGUGGUCAGGAUGAUUAUUGGGCCUAAAGCAUCCGUAGCCCGUUUUGUAAGUUUUCGGUUAAAUCCAUACGCUCAACGUAUGGGCUGCCGGGAAUACUGCAUAACUAGGAAGUGGGAGAGGUAGACGGUACUCGGUAGGAAGGGGUAAAAUCCUUUGAUCUAUUGAUGACCACCUGUGGCGAAGGCGGUCUACCAGAACACGUUCGACGGUGAGGGAUGAAAGCUGGGGGAGCAAACCGGAUUAGAUACCCGGGUAGUCCCAGCUGUAAACUAUGCAAACUCAGUGAUGCAUUGGCUUGUGGCCAAUGCAGUGCUGCAGGGAAGCCGUUAAGUUUGCCGCCUGGGAAGUACGUACGCAAGUAUGAAACUUAAAGGAAUUGGCGGGGGAGCACCACAAGGGGUGAAGCCUGCGGUUC
rnacentral:rRNA from 1 species